AGAUUGAACGCUGGCGGCAGGCCUAACACAUGCAAGUCGAGCGGCAGCACGGGUACUUGUACCUGGUGGCGAGCGGCGGACGGGUGAGUAAUGCCUAGGAAUCUGCCUGGUAGUGGGGGAUAACGCUCGGAAACGGACGCUAAUACCGCAUACGUCCUACGGGAGAAAGCAGGGGACCUUCGGGCCUUGCGCUAUCAGAUGAGCCUAGGUCGGAUUAGCUAGUUGGUGAGGUAAUGGCUCACCAAGGCGACGAUCCGUAACUGGUCUGAGAGGAUGAUCAGUCACACUGGAACUGAGACACGGUCCAGACUCCUACGGGAGCAGCAGUGGGAAUAUUGGACAAGUGGGCGAAAGCCUGAUCCAGCCAUGCCGCGUGUGUGAAGAAGGUCUUCGGAUUGUAAAGCUACGUUUAAGUUGGAGGAAGGCAGUUACCUAAUACGUAUCUGUUUGACGUUACGACAGAAUAGCACGGCU
rnacentral:rRNA from 1 species